rnacentral:ncRNA from 1 species
CCGCAGGGGUGCCUCAUGUUAUGCGGCUGAGACGGCACAAGGAAUUUGCCGAACCCUUAGACCUGAUACGGAUAAUGCCGUCGUAGGAAGUUUUUUUAA